ensembl:lncRNA
GGAAAGGUGAGAAAUCUGGCUCCGUUGAUGGUUCAGCAGGCCGCCUCUCUUUCCGGAUCCCUUCAUUCUUACAAAGGAGCCAGGCACCCCUCCUUGGCCCUGGAGACAGGCCAUCAGCGGAACAGACAGGCGUCUUCCACAGGACUUUCUAGGAGCCUGCACGUUUCUGGAAGAGGCCAACAAUGAACAAGUAAACAAACACGUAAGAAAGAGCACUUUGGAUGCUGCUCAGGAUAUGCUGAUAAAGCCUAAAGACACCCAACUAAGAGUUCGCAUGCCACAGCAGGAGAUCCAGCGUGCCUUAAAGAAGAUCCUGCAUGCUGCAACAAAGACCUGGCGUGAUGAAUAAAUAGAUACGUGUUAAAAAAUUUCACUCUUAUUCCACCUGGCCUCUCCACCCACACUCCCAGAAUCGUGCUGGCGUGUUAGUUGCUCAGUUGUGUCCGACUCUUUGAGACCCCCAUGGACUGUUGCCCCCAAG